rnacentral:rRNA from 2 species
AGACCCGAAACCCGGUGAUCUAGCCAUGGGCAGGUUGAAGGUUGGGUAACACUAACUGGAGGACCGAACCGACUAAUGUUGAAAAAUUAGCGGAUGACCUGUGGCUGGGGGUGAAAGGCCAAUCAAACCGGGAGAUAGCUGGUUCUCCCCGAAAGCUAUUUAGGUAGCGCCUCGUGAAUUCAUCUCCGGGGGUAGAGCACUGUUUCGGCUAGGGGGCCAUCCCGGCUUACCAACCCGAUGCAAACUGCGAAUACCGGAGAAUGUUAUCACGGGAGACACACGGCGGGUGCUAACGUCCGUCGUGAAGAGGGAAACAACCCAGACCGCCAGCUAAGGUCCCAAAGUCAUGGUUAAGUGGGAAACGAUGUGGGAAGGCCCAGACAGCCAGGAUGUUGGCUUAGAAGCAGCCAUCAUUUAAAGAAAGCGUAAUAGCUCACUGGUCGAGUCGGCCUGCGCGGAAGAUGUAACGGGGCUAAACCAUGCACCGAAGCUGCGGCAGCGACACUGUGUGUUGUUGGGUAGGGGAGCGUUCUGUAAGCCUGUGAAGGUGGCCUGUGAGGGUUGCUGGAGGUAUCAGAAGUGCGAAUGCUGACAUAAGUAACGAUAAAGCGGGUGAAAAGCCCGCUCGCCGGAAGACCAAGGGUUCCUGUCCAACGUUAAUCGGGGCAGGGUGAGUCGACCCCUAAGGCGAGGCCGAAAGGCGUAGUCGAUGGGAAACGGGUUAAUAUUCCCGUACUUGGUGUUACUGCGAAGGGGGGACGGAGAAGGCUAUGUUGGCCGGGCGACGGUUGUCCCGGUUUAAGCGUGUAGGUGUGUGUUCCAGGUAAAUCCGGUUCACUUUAACACUGAGGCGUGAUGACGAGGCACUACGGUGCUGAAGCAACAAAUGCCCUGCUUCCAGGAAAAGCCUCUAAGCAUCAGGUAACAUCAAAUCGUACCCCAAACCGACACAGGUGGUCAGGUAGAGAAUACCAAGGCGCUUGAGAGAACUCGGGUGAAGGAACUAGGCAAAAUGGUGCCGUAACUUCGGGAGAAGGCACGCUGACA